UACGGAGGGUGCAAGCGUUAUCCGGAUUCACUGGGUUUAAAGGGAGCGUAGGAGGGCAGGUAAGUCAGUGGUGAAAUCUUCGAGCUUAACUCGGAAACUGCCGUUGAUACUAUCUGUCUUGAAUACCGUGGAGAUGAGCGGAAUAUGUCAUGUAGCGGUGAAAUGCUUAGAUAUGAUAUAGAACACCAAUUGCGAAGGCAGCUCGUUACACGAAUAUUGACUCUGAGGCUCGAAAGCGUGGGGAUCAAACAGG
rnacentral:rRNA from 1 species